AUUGAACGCUGGCGGCAUGCCUUACACAUGCAAGUCGAACGGCAGCGGGCCUUCGGGUGCCGGCGAGUGGCGAACGGGUGAGUAAUGCAUCGGAACGUGCCAUUGAGUGGGGGAUAACGUAGCGAAAGUUGCGCUAAUACCGCAUAUUCUGUGAGCAGGAAAGCAGGGGACCGCAAGGCCUUGCGCUCUUUGAGCGGCCGAUGUCAGAUUAGCUAGUUGGUGAGGUAAAGGCUUACCAAGGCGACGAUCUGUAGCGGGUCUGAGAGGAUGAUCCGCCACACUGGAACUGAGACACGGUCCAGACUCCUACGGGAGGCAGCAGUGGGGAAUUUUGGACAAUGGGGGCAACCCUGAUCCAGCCAUGCCGCGUGAGUGAAGAAGGCCUUCGG
rnacentral:rRNA from 1 species